GACGAACGCUGGCGGCGUGCCUAACACAUGCAAGUCGAGCGGAGUCAGUAAGAGGAAGUUUUCGGAUGGAAUCUUAUUGAUUUAGCGGCGGACGGGUGAGUAACGCGUGAGCGACCAACCUUGCACAGGGGGAUAACGGACCGAAAGGUUCACUAAUACCGCAUGAGACCACGGUGUUGCAUGACACAGGGGUCAAAGGAGCAAUCCGGUGCAAGACGGGCUCGCGUCCGAUUAGGUAGUUGGAGGGGUAACGGCCCACCAAGCCUAUGAUCGGUAGCCGACCUGGAAGGGUGGUCGGCCACAUUGGAACUGAGAUACGGUCCAAACUCCUACGGGAGGCAGCAGUGGGGAAUAUUGGGCAAUGGGGGAAACCCUGACCCAGCAACGCCGCGUGAAGGAAGAAGGUUUUCGGAUUGUAAACUUCUGUCCUUGGUGAAGAGAAGAAGACGGUAGCCAAGGAGGAAGCCCCGGCUAACUACGUGCCAGCCGCCGCAGUAACAC
rnacentral:rRNA from 1 species